rnacentral:tRNA from 1 species
UAUUUAUUUUGAAGAUCAAUCCUUUUGAUUGGAAGUCAAAUAUACUAUUAUAUACUAAAUAAAU